UGUAUCUGAAGCCUGACGAGGAUGAGAACCUCCGGGGGCAAGAGGUUCGACUCGAGCGCAGCGAGAGAACGUUGCUUCAGCAACGGCCCGCAGGGCGAGCCACGCAGUGGCGAGUCAUCCUCUAUCACCGACCA
rnacentral:sRNA from 16 species